UACAACAUAGGAAAUCUGCCUUAGGGUGGGGGACAACAGAGGGAAACUUCUGCUAAUACCCCAUAUGAGCUUGGUUGAAAUACCAAUCUUGAAAGUUCCGGCGCCCUAAGAUGAGCCUGUGCCUGAUUAGCUAGUUGGUGGUGUAAUGGACUACCAAGGCAACGAUCAGUAGCUGGUUUGAGAGGAUGAUCAGCCACAAUGGGACUGAGACACGGCCCAUACUCCUACGGAAGGCAGCAG
rnacentral:rRNA from 1 species